rnacentral:lncRNA from 1 species
CAUACCCUGCAGUAGAUGGGAAAGGCCACGGAGGACACGUUCUGUCUCAGAAAAAGAUAAAAACGAGAGAGCCUAUGAAAAGAAGCCUUGCUUCCUGGAGGCAUGUAGGAAGAAAAUG